AAAUGGCUUCUGGGUACUGUGGAAAAACCCAACCCGGUUCCACGCGAGCGUUUUUGGUCACUGGCUUCGCAGCUUCCCCUCUAGGCACACUGGCCCUUCCCCUCCUGGGAGGUCAAAGGGCGGCGGGGUGGGGAAGCCUGGGUUUUGGGUUGGCCGUUUAUUCGCUACGUGACCUUGGCCGUGGAACCAAACGGUCCGUGUUGCAUGAUGCGAAGAGUCACAGCAGAUGCCUGGACCGCGCACCUGCCACAGUGAAACACCCACGCGGCACCGAUAACACCCUUUUCGAUAAAAGGAAAACAAAACUUCCAGCAGAGAUAAAGGAAGGUCCGAAUUCUUUGGCAGCUGUCCUGGGAAGGAGCGUUCCACGUUCCGUGCUGUUUUCCCACUGGAAUGGGACAAAGGGGCUCUGAAAUAUUUGUCCAGAUCAUUUCUCAUCAAUGGGGCAUUCCAACAGCCACAAGCGGUGUCGGCUUUUCGCCCCGAGCCCAGCCAGGAGGGAGCCACUGGUCUGGCUAAUCUGGGUGGGAGUCCUGGUCACUGGCUGAACUGGGGGGGCGGGAGCACUCGUGUUCCAUGGGGACAGUGUAUCUGACCGAGUCGGCUGCUGGCCGGCUGCUGGGGCUGAGCUGUGUCAGAGGCUGGACCUGUGCGCCAGACCCCUGAGCCCGUGCGGCUCUAGUCUGUCUCUUGCCUGGGAGAAGUGAUUAAUUAUGCCAUUUUUAGAGGAGGAGACUGAGGGUCUGUGUGGAUGCGGGAGACUCACCCAAGGUCACACACAUUUCAGAUCUCUGUCUGACACCAAGCCUCCCAGCUCUGGCCACCACAGCCAGAAGCGCUGCCAUUCACCUGUCCUCCUGUCCCCAAGUGCCCUCGUGCUUCCUCCUGUGCCCAGACAUCCACGGUGUCUCCCCAAAGUGACGAGCUCUGAGCUGCGAUCUUCUCAGCUGAGACACAGCCCCGCACCUGUCUCUGUGGUCCAGGUUCUGUCUCCUCUCGGUCUGGUACCACCUCCUGGCACACCCUCUCUUCUAGGUCAUCCUGUCCCCAGGUGUCUCUGAAAACUCCUCCGACACCAGGCAUCACCUCCCACUGCCCCGGGGCCUCGGAGCAGAGCACAGGUGCCUGGUGGGACAGAGAUAGGUCCGGGGUGGCAGCCAGGUCCAGAUGGCCCCAAGGACCCUCACCUGUUGGUGUGCACUCCCUGAGGAGCCGUCUUCUUCACCUUGAACGGUGCUCACCUGGUAGCCAGAAGAUGCCCGGGAAUGAUGCACGGGACUCCCAAGACGGUGUCAUAAAUGGUGCUAUGGCUUCUGCCUCUCUCUUCAACUGCUUGCUCUGGGGUCAGGUGUCCACUGCGUUGCAAGAAUGCUCAAGCAGCCCCGCGGAGAGGCCCAUGUGGCAGGGUCCCGA
rnacentral:lncRNA from 1 species